rnacentral:lncRNA from 1 species
UUCUUCUCUCCCCUUAUCUUUUCCCUCUUUAUCUCUCUUUCGCUUCAACCUGUGCCGUCCUCUCUCUUUUUCUUCUGAAAUUCUAAAUCCAACCUUCCCCUUCUUUUUCUCAUAGAUAGCCAACUCACUUCUCCUGCUCCGGAUAAUCUCUGGCCAUUAACGCUCUGUUUAUCGCUCUCCCUGUCUCCCAAAUCCUCAUUUAUGUAAGGCAUAUCUCGCGCUCUCGAACGGCGUAUCUUCAACAUCGUUUUUGUCAAGCUCCAUCUGAAAACCCUAACCGAUUGAGCUAAGCAGAGAGUGUAAAUAAAUUUUCAUGAUUUUUGUUGUUAAGUUGUAUGUGAUUAUGUCAAUGUUAUCCUCUACUUAUAUUGAUAUUUGGAUGCCAAUUAACUUUUUUUAUAAUGUGAUUUCUUCAUUGAUAAAGAUAUAUAAGAGAGCGAUUGAGGUUGUUGUUGGUUUCGGUUCUCAAAUUGCAAUACAGUUUUACUGCAUAUGAAAAUGAGGUCAGAAAAUUUUCAAGAAAGUUAAGGUAAAAAUUUUCCCCUUUGACCUCUGUGUAUAAACUGUGAUCUCUGUGUAUGGAGUUUAUAUUUCAUUUCCAAAUAAUCCAUCGAGUUUGUUGGAUGUCUGAACUUCUUUGAUUAAUAUUUUUGGAUGAAAUUUACUUUUAUUGUCACAUUGGACCUGUAAAACGUGUAUUUUUAAGAUGGUAUCUGACAAAUAAAAUUUUUAACUUUAAUAAAAAACCAGAUAUUUAUUUUUUUCAGUGAUGAUACUAAAUCAUUUUUUAAUCUUUGGAUUACUAAUCCCAUAUUCCUUAAUUUUGACUCUAUUUCUCAAUCUUAAAAGAUAUAAUUUAUGCACUUGAAUGAUAAAGUUCUUUUGUUUUAAAAAGUGGAAAAAUCUAUAAAAAUUCGAUAUGGUUCAAUUUCAAUGGUUGGCUUCCUCAUUUGCUUCAUAUUGGAGCUAUUUAUCUCUUAUAUUUCUCAUUUUUCCACCAUUUGGUUCGCAUUGAAACUCUUAACUUUUAUUUUUUUAACUCUUAAAUGAUUAAUUUUUAUACAUUUAUAUUUAAAAAACUUCUGUACUAAAAAGUAGAAAAUUCUAUACAAAUCAAUCCAAUGCACUUUCUUUCUAUUGAAUUUGUAACCACCAAAUAUCUCUUGUUUGCCUUUUCAUAUUCUCCUUUUAUAUUAGUUACUUUUUUUAUUAUUUCAUUCGUUAUUAUUAUUACUAAAUGCCGUUUAACAAGUUCUGUUCUUCUUUUGCCAUAGUCAUUGACAAAUCCUUGGCAUGUUUGUGCAUUUACUAAAUGCCAUUUUUUUAAUGUUCUCUUUUUAGGAAUAAAAAAAAUGAAAAAUAAAAAAUAAGCAUUAUCUUAUGGCAUAUGUAAAUUUUUACUCUAAUAUAACUUUAUUAAGAUAUUAUUAUAGUUUUGUUGCACUUUAUCCACUUGGAUCCAUACCGUGAUGUACCAAGAUCUACAAAGCAAAAACUUGAAGAUGCCUUUUCUAGGAGUAUAGAUGAAACUUGGAAUGAUAAUGAGG